AGUACAUUUACAUUCAUUCAUCCUUCAUCCAUUUUUUGUUUAUAUAAUAUGUAUAAAAAAGACCUAAUUAAUGAUUCUCGCGCCUAUACAAUGAUAAAUAAUAAUAAUAAUAAUAAUAAUAAUAAUGAUAAUAAUGAUAGUAAUAAUAAUAAUAAUGUGAUUCUAGCAUCGUUGUGACAAAAUAAAUGAGGAUAAUGAAUUAGAUAAUGAAUUAAAAGAUUGAGAUGAAAUUGUGAUAGGUAAGGUAAGGUAAGGUAAAGUAAGGUGAGGUGAGGUAAGGUAAGGGUAAGGUAAGGUAUUGUAAGGUAAGGUAAGGUAAGGUUAGGUAAGGUAAGGUAAGGUAAGGUUAGGUAAGGUAAGGUAUUGUAAGGUUAAAUUAGGGUAAGGUAAGGUAUUGUAAGGUAAGGUAAGGUAAGGUAGGGUUAGGUAAGGUAUUGUAAGGUAAGGUAAGGUAAGGUUUAAUUAGGGUAAGGUUAGGUAAGGUAAGGUAUUGUAAGGUAAGGUUAAAUUAAGGUAAGGUAAGGUAAGGUAAAUAGAGUGGCUAUAUUGUAAUUCCUUUCUCUGUUAUUAUUAUUAUUAUUAUUAUUAUUAUUAUUAUUAUUAUUAUUAUUAUUAUCAUUAUUAUGCACCUUUGUGACAUUGAUCUUGUGUGUGAGUGAACUAAGAAUUAAUAUUACGAGAAAAACGUUGAUUUAUGCUCGGAGAAGAAGAAGAAGAAGAAGAAGAAGAAGAACGAGAACAACAAAAAACAACAAGAACAACACGAAGAAAAAGACGAAAGAAAGAAAGAAAGAAAAAAAAGAAAGACACGAAAAAAAAAAUGAACACUAAAAAAAGAAACUUAAAACUAUAGAUGAAAAAAUGAUCUAUGUACAUUUAUAAAUAAUUACAAAAAGGACUUAGAGGGUAAUUAGCGAAUGGGAGAAGACAGGUGAAGUAGGAGGAGGAGGAGGAGGAGGAGGAGGAGGAGGUGGAAAUUAAGGUGAAAAGGAAAACAAGGUAAGGUAAAGAGAAGGGAAGUGGCGAUAAGGUAAGGUAAGGUGAGAUUAGGUUAGGUAAGGUAAGGUAAGGUAAGGUAAGGUUAGGUAAGGUAAGGUGAGAUUAGGUUAGGUAAGGUAAGGUAAGGUAAGGUGAGAUUAGGUUAGGUAAUGUAAGGUGAGGUAAGGUAAGGUAAGGUUAGGUAAGGUAAGGUAAGGAAAAAUUAGGUAAAUUUAGGUGAGGUAAGGUAAGGUAAGGAAGGGUAAGGACAAGUAAUAAUGACAAGGUGAGAUGCUAAUUAACCUGUCAGUAGGCCUAGGUUAAUUAAUGCUUUCUCACCUGGUUAAAAAAUAUUAUGAAUGGAAGAAACUGAGAAUCAUUAUUAUUAUUAUCAUUAUUAUUAUUAUUGACGUUGAAGAUUGAGAAAAGGAAGAAAAAGGAAGUGAAAUAAG